UGGAUGGAAUUAGAGUGUAUUAUGCUAAGGGAAAUAAGUCAGAGAAAGACAAAUACCAUAUGAUUUCACUCAUAUGAGGACUUUAAGAGUCAAAAGAGUUGAACAUAAAGGAAGGGAA